rnacentral:lncRNA from 1 species
CAGAGACCGCCCACAAGCCGCCACACGCACCUGUGCCCAUGUGUUCACCGUCCCUCCGUGGGCGACAGAGGGACACUCAGUGCUCUUACCUAAAGGCAGCGCCCCUUCCCCAGGGCAUGACGGCCACUCCCAGUUGCAUCCAGAAGGAUUUGGCUCCAGCAGACCUGCCCUCUGUCUCCUCGCACCGUUCAUUCAGUUUCGGCCAAAUCCUCCUCGUCCAUGCACGUAGUCUCUGCAAUCCUUUCCAAAGGCGGAACAACGCCAACAAAACAAAAAGCCUUUCUGGAUCUUGCUUCGCCCUUCCGGAUGCCGUGCCGUUUGUGUGUGCGCCUCUCAGCAGAAUGUCGCAGAGAGGUGUCUGCACGGCUGCGCGCAAAUCCUCUGAGGAACCUGCAUGUUCAGGAUUUCCAACCCGACCGCCCUUGCACUGAAAUGCCUCCUGGUGGUGUUGCUAAGACAGUGUCGGAGUUCCCUGCUGCUUCUGAAGGAUUUAGCCCAGUGGUUCACUCACUCCUUCUUGAAAUGCAUUCUUUUUUUUUUUUUUUCUUUUUCCAGGGCCGCACCCGUGGCACAGGGAGGUUCCCUGGCUAGGGGGUCUAAUUGGAGCUGUAGCUGCCAGGCUACACCACAAUCACAGCAACGCCAGAUCCGAGCUGCGUCUGCGACCUACACCACCGCUCACAGCAACACCAGAUCCUUAACCCACCGAUCGAGGCCAGGGAUCAAACCCGCAACUUCAUGUGGUUCACGAAUCCGACUAGGAACCAUGAGGGUGUGGGUUCGAUCCCUGGCCUUGCUCAGUGGGUUGAGGAUCCAGCAUUGCCGUGAGCUGUGGUGUAGGUUGUAGAUGCAGCUCGGAUCCCACGUGGCUGUGGCGGUGGUGUAGGCCGGCGGCUACAGCUCCGAUUCCACCCCGAGCCUGGGAACCUCCAUAUGCCAUGGGAGCGGCCUAGAAAAAACAAAAACAAAAACAAAACAAAACAAAAAUUCAUCAAGUGAAAUAAAGGGUGGAAGAUACCCAGGAGACUUGGAGGUGUCCCUGGAGCACUAGCUUUUGAAUGCCUCAUCUCUGAGCAUCUUUGUUUCCGGUGAUUCCACUACACAUGAGCGUUACUAAUAAAGAGAGUUGUGAGGCCUCUCUUGGGGGGUGCACUUACUUCUUGACGUAGGUGGUAAUGAAUGGGGUGCUCAGAUGAUGGUCUUGGUAGAACCACCUGUAAUAUGUCAUAGGAGGGGGGCAGUCUAAGGAAAAAUUGGACGCCAUUCUUCAGAUGUUGCCAGGUAGGUAGAUCGGGUACUCCCAAGAGUGGUGUCGACUGAGACACAGCUCUUUACCUUAGAGAUUCCCUGUUUUGUAUUGACAGCUUCCGGCCUUGGCACAAAUAUGAACUCCAAGGUGGAUCUUAUAAGUGCCUGGAUGACCCUGUUGUGCUCUAUAUGUAGAAGAUGGGGCCAUUGUAAGGAUACAUUGAAAAGAAUGAACACAGCCCUUCCGAUGGUUCUCUAUUACUCGGUUACACGGCUCAGUUCACCAGAAUCUUGACUUUGUUUUUGCACGAGCGAACUCCUCCUGGAACCCUGGGGCCUGCUUUCAGAGACGUGCCAUGGGCCCAGCAUCACCUCCAGGGGUGGUGGAUGGAGCAAAGGUGCUCAUUGGUGGACCAGGCUCCAGAACCAAACACACUGAAACAUGUCACCUCAAGUCACCAGGCAAAUGGGGAUUUCCCAUGUCAAACCUGCCUUUCGGUCUAGCUGGCGAGUCAGGUUUUCUUACUCUUGCUGUUGAAAGAUAACAUUUCGCUGCUUGAAGAGCCACACUUCCCUUCUCACUUGAACUGUUACCUAAACUGCUGUGGAUGCCACACAGAUAAGAGUUUCUCUUGCAGACUUGUUGCUUGUCUCACGCAGUCCCCCUCCCUGACCCUAGCCAGAGAAAGAGAACGAGAACGUGGGCAAAACUGUAGGUUUUCCUUUGCUCGUCAUGUCAUUGCUGUGUCCUGACUCUUUUUGGGAAAAAAAAAAAAAAA